ACUCCUACGGGAGGCAGCAGUGGGGAAUAUUGCACAAUGGGCGCAAGCCUGAUGCAGCAACGCCGCGUGGGGGAUGACGGCCUUCGGGUUGUAAACCUCUUUUGGUAGGGAAGAAGCCUUCGGGUGACGGUACCUGCAGAAAAAGGACCGGCUAACUACGUGCCAGCAGCCGCGGUAAUACGUAGGGUCCGAGCGUUGUCCGGAAUUAUUGGGCGUAAAGAGCUCGUAGGCGGUUCGUCGCGUCUGCCGUGAAAUCCUCAGGCUCAACCUGAGGCGUGCGGUGGGUACGGGCGGGCUAGAGUGCGGUAGGGGAGAAUGGAACUCCUGGUGUAGCGGUGGAAUGCGCAGAUAUCAGGAAGAACACCGAUGGCGAAGGCAGUUCUCUGGGCCGUAACUGACGCUGAGGAGCGAAAGCGUGGGGAGCGAACAGGAUUAGAUACCCUGGUAGUCCACGCCGUAAACGUUGGGCGCUAGAUGUGGGGACCAUUCCACGGUUUCCGUGUCGUAGCUAACGCAUUAAGCGCCCCGCCUGGGGAGUACGGCCGCAAGGCUAAAACUCAAAGGAAUUGACGG
rnacentral:rRNA from 1 species